UGUAGAUAUGUAUCUUGCCCUUGACAAGGAUAUGAAUGGAACGCUGAGCAAGCAGGAGCUUAAAGAAUAUGCAGAUGGGACACUGACUGAAAUCUUCAUAGAAAGAGUAUUUGAUGAGCAUGUCCGGCGCGGCAAAA